AGGACGAACGCUGGCGGCGUGCUUAACACAUGCAAGUCGAGCGGAAAGGCCCUUCGGGGUACUCGAGCGGCGAACGGGUGAGUAACACGUGAGUAAUCUGCCCCUAGCUCUGGGAUAGCUCCGGGAAAACCGGGAUUAAUACCAGAUACGACCACUUUAGACAUCUGCUGUGGUGGAAAGAAUUUCGGCUAGGGAUGAGCUCGCGGCCUAUCAGCUUGUGGUGAGGUAACGGCUCACCAAGGCGACGACGGGUAGCCGGCCUGAGAGGGCGACCGGCCACACUGGGACUGAGACACGGCCCAGACUCCUACGGGAGGCAGCAGUGGGGAAUAUUGCGCAAUGGGCGAAAGCCUGACGCAGCGACGCCGCGUGGGGGAUGAAGGCCUUCGGGUUGUAACCCUUUCAGCAGGGACGAAGCGAAAGUGACGGUACCUGCAGAAGAAGCGCCGGCUAACUACGUGCCAGCAGCCGCGGUAA
rnacentral:rRNA from 1 species